UUUAAAAAGCGUUAAAGCUUAAUUUAAUUAAAUAAAAAUUCCCCAAAUAAUCAUGAACCCUCCUCCCCCACUGAAUGAUCUCAUAAUAUAUGAAAAACAUCAUGCUAGAACUAGUAACAAGAAUCUAAAGUUCUCCUAAAUGUAAACAUAAACCAAAAUGGAUACCCCAUUGGUAAUUAACGAAAUUGAGUCACCUACAGCAACACAUCAAGAAAAACCUGAAUUUCCAAUCGUUAACCUAACACCAGCACAUUUCCGGAAAGAUUAAAAGAAAAAGAAGGAACUCGGCAAACUUCCACCCCGCCUGUUUACCAAAAACAUCGCCUCUUGACACUAAUAGGAGGUCCAGCCUGCCCAGUGACAAAGUUCAACGGCCGCGGUACCCUAACCGCGCGAAGGUAGCAUAAUCACUUGUUCCUUAAAUAGGGACUUGUAUCAACGGCAUCACGAGGGUCGCACUGUCUCCUUUUUCUAAUCAGUGAAACUGAUCUCCCCGUGAAAAAGCGGGGAUAAACAUAUUAGACGAGAAGACCCCAUGGAGCUUUAAACCCACAGCAACCAAACUACAAACUUCUAUAAACCUCAAAGGAAAUGCCUAACGGUUUUAGGUUGGGGUGACCGCGGAGUAAAAAAUAACCUCCACAACGCAUAAACCUAAAUUUUUAUUUAAGAGCUACAUCUCUAAAAACUAGCACACUAACGUACACUGAUCCGACAAUCGAUUAAUGGACCAAGUUACCCUGGGGAUAACAGCGCAAUCUAUUUCAAGAGUCCAUAUCGACAAAUAGGCUUACGACCUCGAUGUUGGAUCAGGGUAUCCCAGUGGUGCAGCCGCUACUAAUGGUUCGUUUGUUCAACGAUUAAAACCCU
rnacentral:rRNA from 1 species